CUCGUAGGCGGUUUGUCGCGUCGGGAGUGAAAACACUGGGCUUAACUCAGUGCUUGCUUCCGAUACGGGCAGACUAGAGGUAUUCAGGGGAGAACGGAAUUCCUGGUGUAGCGGUGAAAUGCGCAGAUAUCAGAAGGAACACCGGUGGCGAAGGCGGUUCUCUGGGAAUGUCCUGACGCUGAGGAGCGAAAGUGUGGGGAGCGAACA
rnacentral:rRNA from 1 species